UCUCUCUUCGUUAUAAUGUUUACUAGUUUAUGGUUUCCUUAAGUUUUUGUUUCCUGGUAUCAUUAAUAGAAUAAAGUGUUUUUAUUAUCAGUAGAAUAAAGUGUUUUAUUUGUUGUCUGUUCGAUAUCUUGUGUCUUCUUGAUGCAAUGCUAAAUUAUUGAGCAAGAAUAAGUGCAUUCACUGUUACCAUGACAAUCAGCAGCUCGCUGAUAGAUUAUCGUCAAAAAACAGGGUUGAACCUGUCAAUGAAUCUGCUGUAGUCCUGUUGGUGGUAAAAAAGGACUGGGCUCGAAUGAGUCGACUCCGUCAGGGUAGAGUUCUCCGGGACGGAGUUUAUUACCCGGCAGCUUUGCCCGGGUACCCGAUGGAACUAUGUUUCCUUUCCCCCAUUUCAGAUUGAGGAACUCAAUUUUGAUAAACACGCUUUGCGAAUUGCGAAAGCAGACAGACUACCGUGCAUUGUUUACUGAAAAGUUAUGAAAAAGGAAUUUUAAAUAUAAUUGCAAGAACUGAAAAGGUUUCCAUCGUACUUAUUACUCUCGAGGGUCGUGUGGCGAGCACGUUUCAGAAACCAAAACUUUCACAAGAAGCUGAUAUCACGAAUUACAAAUUUGUUCGUUUGUCGAUACUGUUUCUACCCGAAACAACCCGUUUUUGAUAUCCUUCAGAAUGACAGCGAAGUGUCAAAAUAAUAAAACACGUUCAGACCACGUGAUAUACCGAAUAUACAUGUACGUCAUCACUUUGACAAGUCAAUAUUGUGCGUAAUGUGAAAUUAAGUCCAAGUCUUAAAUCCAGGUUUUAUCUGAGAGCCAUUAAAUAUAUCUUUUAUGUUAGGAUAUGUCACUAAAGCGAGGAAUGUAUUAGUGAAAAUAACUGAACAAAAACAUCUUGCCAUUUCUAAUUUUGAUUGACGAUCAUUUCGUUAUAAAUUUUAUAUAAAUUAUAUAUCAGCCUUCAUGAUAUAGGUCCGUCAAAAGGGUCUGUUACGAAAAUACUUCGCUUGCACUUUUAUAUGUUGAAUAUUUGCUAUAGUGAUGUACAAUUAUACGACUUUCGCCCAUGACUGCACGUUAUUGAAAGGUUCCGUACUUUUUUAUUCACGAUAUUGAGCUGAAAUCCAUGACGAAUAUACGAUAGUUGCAGACUGAUAUAUACGUCAUUCAAAAGAACCACGUGAUCAGGAGAUAAGUGGUCCAUAGUUUGAAUGCUUUAAAAGCCAUCAAACUCAUCAUCUUGCUUCAUCGACAACAACGCCUAAUUGUUGGUCUAUAUUGAACAAAAGUACUAUUAACUUAAGUUACGACACUGCGGCUACCAAUAUGUUGGACAAAUUUUAUCUUUGUUUGGGAAUCGUGUUCAUUAUAGCGACUCUCGGAGAUGCUUUAAAAUGCGAUUUUUGCCAAUAUUCGUCGAAAGACCCGCCAUCCGCACAGAAGUGCGAAAGUAAGAUCGUCAACUGUACGACAGAGUACUGUUACACAGGUAUUCAAAUUGAUAGAAACGGAACAAGGUAUGUUGGAAGAGGUUGUGAUUUCACCGAUCCUGAGGACAAGUUAUGUCCUGAUAAAAAAGGGAGGGAAACGUGUGACAAAGCAAUAAAAAAGGAAGGUUUAAAAUCAUGUCACGUGGAGUGUUGUCAGAGCGAUAAUUGCAACAAUUACACCCCAAGCAGUGCAAAUGGCAUCAUGGCGACAAAGUUUACUACCGUCUUCCUGAUAAUCAGUCAGUUGUUGGGUCAACGUCUCGAACUCUAAGAUUUGUACAACAGCCAGUGUCGUUUAGUCUUUUACUAUAGUUUUAUUUGCUUCCGAACUUGUCGUAAUGGUUUAUUGAGGUGUCUGGGAAAUUUUAAUACUGACCACUGGUUUAGUUGAUAAAUAUCGCUUGAUUAUUAAUAAAGUGUUUUUAUUUGUUGUCAAUCAGAAUCGUGUAUUUCUCAGUUAACUAGGAUUUAACUAUGCCAAAUAUAGUUAAAGAGUUUUAUACAACUGACAAUGAACGUGUCAAUCAGAUAAAUGCAAAUACAACUGAAGGCGUACAGGAUGAAUGAGACUCGGAAACAUG
rnacentral:lncRNA from 1 species